rnacentral:rRNA from 1 species
UACGGGGGGUGCAAGCGUUGUUCGGAAUUAUUGGGCGUAAAGAGCGUGUAGGCGGCUGAAUAAGUCAGAUGUGAAAUCCCUGAGCUUAACUCAGGAAGUGCAUUUGAAACUAUUCGGCUUGAGUAGGGGAGAGGAAAGUGGAAUUCCUGGUGUAGAGGUGAAAUUCGUAGAUAUCAGGAGGAACACCGGUGGCGAAGGCGACUUUCUGGCCCUAUACUGACGCUGAGACGCGAGAGCGUGGGUAGCAAACAGG